GCCGCGUUCGUCUAGAGGCCUAGGACGCCGGCCUCUCACGCCGGUAACACGGGUUCGAAUCCCGUACGCGGUA
rnacentral:tRNA from 1 species